rnacentral:lncRNA from 1 species
ACAAACCUGGAAAGACUUAUAUGAAGGGACGCAAGGUGAAGUGAGUAGAAUCAGAACAUUGAAUAAUACAAUGACAACAGUAGUGUAAGAGGACCUACUGUGCAUGACUUGCCUAUUAUCAACAAGGAAAGGAUCUAGGACAGCUCCAAGGGACUUAGGACAAAAAGGGCUAUCCACUACCACAGAAGGAACAGAUUGAGUCUGAAUGCAGUUUGAAGCAUACCAUUCUUUACUUUAAUUCCUACAUGAAUUUUUCUCUAGUAUAAGCAAUAUGUAUCUUCUUUUACAACAUAAUGAACAUGGAACUUUGUAUUUUAUGGUAUGAUAUGCAAAACCUAUAUUGUAUAACUGCCCUCUUGGGGAUAGGGAAGGAGUAGAAGGGAGAGAGAGAACCCAAGUUAGAAAAUUUCCAAAAAUAAUGAUUUAAAAUGGUAUCAGCCUUGAAUCAGCCUGGAAAAAACUGAUGCACACAAAAUAAAGGAACAAUAAUUGUACAGGGGAAAUGCCUUAUUUGAAAAUAAUGCCUACUACUUCCUCUAGACACAAAUUCCUAGUUUGGAUCCCAUCUACAGCUGUCAGCUCAUCAGGAUUUCUCCUUUUCAUGGUUAUUCUUUGAACUUUCCUAGAAAUUUACCCAUCUGGGAAGACAGCUAGUUAGCAAUAGUUGUUUUCAAGGGUUUCCUCUUUUUCCUUCAGUGUCUCCUGUACUUAUACCUAUACUAUAUAUACAUUUAUGAGUCAAGGACUUAUUGUUGUUCACUUGUUUUAAGUUGUGUCAAAUUCUUCAUGACCCUAUUUGGAAUCUUCUUGGCAGAUACUGAGUGUUUUGCCAUUUCCUUCUCCAGAUCAUAUUAAAGAUGAAGAAAUGGAAGGAAACACAGCAUUUUUCAGCACAGCCUGACACAAAUGAGUUUCCCAGAAACAGAAAAGAAUAUGCACCCAGGGAAAACCACCAAGGAACAACAACCCCCUGGAAUGACAUGAAGAAACCUUCUUUGACUUCCUUUGUUUCAUACUUUGCAAUAUCCACAUCUUUGCAACUGCUAUCUAAAAGAACAUGGCUGAAAGGAAGUUUUGGUGGAAGAUGGUGGGAGAAACUCAUUUUGUAAUGAAGACAAGGGAGAAGAAAUCAUUUAUAUCUGAACUUCUAAAGAGACAUAUUCCUCUUUGCCUUCCACUGGAAUCCCUCAAGGUUGAAGCAUGCAACAAAAAUCAUAAUGGCAAUAAUAUCAAUUGCCUUCAUUGAUAUUGCACUUUUAGUUUGCAAAUUGUUAAACAUAAACUGUCUCAUUCCAUUACGGGCACCUUGAGGGCAGGGGCUGACUUUUACAUCGGUAAUUAAUAAAAGUUUAUGAUUGAGUAAUCCUUAUAACA